GACAUGAAAUAUGAGCGAUCAGUCCUUUGUUGGGAGCUCUUUUGUCUACAUCUGAGGAUACAAGCUGCAGUGGAGUUUAGCAUCACGUUGGAUCUUUUCUCAAGGAACAGUGUCCCAGGACAACCGCCUUGGUUUGUAGACAUGAUUAUCUGUGUGAGAAACCAUGAAUAAGUAAUGAAAAAUGAGCUCAGAGGAGCUAACUCUAAAACAAUAACUGUCUUCAAGAUAAACCAAGGAAACCAUGGAAACUGAUAUGAAGCAGGGAAGGAGGU